UUCUAGACAGAAGGCCUAAAAGAGAAGAAAAUCAGCAGCUCAAGUUCCAGUUCCCAGAGUGAAGAGGAAGAAGAGCAAGCUUGAAAGCACAGCCCACAGGAGGCAUGCCAGCUUUUCCUUAGGAAGUGAGAAAGAGAGAUCCAGCCUUGGGAGCUGACACCUGGGCAGUCAGCGUGACCAGAAAAUGAUCUCACCCACCCUCAGCUCCACACAGGACCCCUCUGCACUUUGGGACUGGUGGUGCUAGUGGUCUGUGUAUGGAAUGCUUAACUAAAACUUUCUUCAUUUGUCAAGCCUUAUUUACAUUAUUUAUUCAUUAUUUAAAAAUAAAAAACUAAAUUAUUCCUUUGUUUGAAUAUUUUCUCUCUAAUCUUAGCUUCAUAAUAAAGAAAACAGAUU